rnacentral:rRNA from 1 species
GUCUACAGCCAUGCCACCCUGAACAAGCCCGAUGUCUGAUCUCAGAAGCUAAGCAGGGACAGGCAUGGUUAGUACUUGGAUGGGAGACCACCUAGGAAGACCAGGUACUGUAGGCA